UACGUAGGUGACAAGCGUUGUCCGGAUUUACUGGGCGUAAAGAGCGCGCAGGCGGUCGAUCAAGUCGAGUGUGAAAGCCCCCGGCUCAACUGGGGAGGGUCAUUCGAUACUGAUCGACUCGAAGGCAGGAGAGGGUAGUGGAAUUCCCGGUGUAGUGGUGAAAUGCGUAGAUAUCGGGAGGAACACCGGUGGCGAAGGCGGAUCUCUGGGCCUUACCUGACGCUCAGGCGCGAAAGCUAGGGGAGCGAACAGG
rnacentral:rRNA from 1 species